GAAAACAAAAGGAACAGAAAGGGGUGAGCUUGCGCUCAAUGAGGUACCAGACAUAUAGCAGUAAAAUCAUGGCAUUUCACAUUUAACAAAUCCGGUACACAUGCCAGAUGUAAAGUAAAGGAACCAAUGAUUCAAAUAGGAAGGAUACAGGUGGCUCUCAGGAGCCAAAUUCCCAUUUGCGUCACCGAAGCUUGAUCGAAAUAAUAGUUGACACUCCGUCAACGCUAAAAGAGUAACCAAUACCGUAGACUCCACUUUCUCCGAUUCCUUCCACCUCACAU
rnacentral:lncRNA from 1 species